rnacentral:rRNA from 1 species
CCUACGGGAGGCAGCAGUGAGGAAUAUUGGUCAAUGGACGCAAGUCUGAACCAGCCAUGCCGCGUGCAGGAUGACGGCUCUAUGAGUUGUAAACUGCUUUUGUACGAGGGUAAAUCCCGAUACGUGUAUCGGGUUGAAAGUAUCGUACGAAUAAGGAUCGGCUAACUCCGUGCCCGCAGCCGCUGUAAUACGGAGGAUUCCAGCGUUAUCCGGAUUCAUUGGGCUUAAAGGGAGCGUAGGCGGGCGUUCAAGUCAGCUGUAAAAUCGCGCGGCUCAAACGCGCCCCGCAGUUGAAACUGGACUCCUUGAGUGUGCAACAGGCAGGCGGAAUGCGUGGUGUAGCGGUGAAAUGCAUAGAUAUCACGAGGAACCCCGAUUGCGAAGGCAGCCUGCCGGGGUGCGACUGACGCUGAGGCUCGAAGGUGCGGGUAUCGAACAGGAUUAGAUACCCGUGUAGUC